UUGGUCAGUGGCCGAGACCUGUAGCCAAUCAGUGCGGUGGUUGGGCCCUCAUUGCGGACCGAAGGUCUGCGUGAGCGUCUGGCGGGCACUGUGGCCUGCAGAGACUCGAGGUGUGGAGGGCAGAGCCAGGGAGGAGUGAGCACGUCUUGGGACCUGACAGUCAGGCGGCUGGCACCGCCAUCACCGCUAUCGCUGCUCCUGGUGCUGGUGCUGCUGUCCGGAGCCUUGGGCUCUGCGUCCUGAAGAGCUCUUUCCUUAAGGGGAAUCGUGGGGAGACCGGCUGCCGCGGGAGGGCGACGAUGAAAGCUCUGCGGCUGUGAAGCUAGCAGUACCUCUACGCUUCUGCGGUGUCCAGUUCAGCAACCUCUACGUGGGCACCAAUGGCAUCAUAUCCACCCAGGACUUACCCAGGGAGACUUAAUAUGUCGUUGAUGAUUUUCCUACUGGCUUCCCAGCCAUCGCCCCAUUCCUGGCUGACAUCCACUCGAGUCACAGCAGUGGCCGGAUCCUGUAUGGAGGACACCUCUUGGGCUGGGCUGAGUCUGGCUGCUUGCUACCUGUGCACAGGCUUCCCGCUGACCCGGUCCAGCUUCUCCCCUACCCACUUCUUCCUGGCCACCUGGGAGCAAGUGGGCCCUUAGGAGGAGGACAGGCUUGGGGUUGCGUGGUCUGGAGAGCUGAACACUCUCCAGGCUGUUCUGGCAUCCGAUGAAUGUGAUUCCUAUGUCCUCUUUCUCUAUCCUGCCAAUGGUCUUCAGUUUUUGGAACUCGCCCCAAAGAAUCCUACAGUGUCCAGCUGAAGCUUCCUGCUAAGGUGGGCUUCUGCCAAGGGGAAGCAGAUGACCUGAAGAGAAAAGCCCUGUAUUUCAGCCUGACUAACAGUGAGCAGUCUGUGAAGAAUCUCUACCCGAUAUGGAGACUUCAAUGAUUUUAAUCUAGAGGAUGCGCUGAAAGAAACUUCCUGAGUAAAGCGUGACUCAAACAAACAAGUCCACCAAGCAAACACAAGUGGUCGGCCGUGCACCACACUCACAAUCUUGCCUUCAGAAAAGUACAUGCAUAUGAGACUAGCUGCACCUCCAUCUACCUGUUAGUUCUGUUGUGCAAGGCUUGUGUCGUCUCGUCAUACGUGUGUCAUCUUCCUUUUUCAUUUAGUCUAUGUCGAAACCACAAGAGAACGUGCAUCUGCCUUCACCUUUUUUCUGCUGUACAAAAAGAGAACUCCUACCCGUUUCAUUCCUCUCACUGUUUUGUUUUGAGACAGGGUCUCUUGAUUUAGCCCGAGUUGUCCUGAAAUUCUCUGUGCCGACAAGGCCGGCUUUGACUUGGAUCCAGUGCUAGAACAACAGUGACUAUUGUCCACUGAUGCAUUUCUAGCUUCAGAACCCAUGACUUUUUAUGAUUCUUCAGUGUGAUCCCCACAAUGGCCUCGGGGACCAAUACCGAGACCAUUCUCACGAUGUGACUUCUGUAAACCAUAAAGCAGCCAAUGUGUUUUACAAUCUGCUUCCUUUCAUCCUCCCAUCUCCCUUCGAGAGCCACUUUAGCACCACGACUAGGAGGACAGGAACUACCAGAGCCCCAUCAAAUCCAGCAGAGAGAUGGGACCACAUCACCACUACUACAGCGAGAAGGCCAGGAGCAACUAGAGCACCGUCAAAUCCUAUGGAACUUGAUGGGUUUGACUUGGAAGACUCCUUGGAUGAUCGGAACGAUCUAGAUGGCCCCAAAAAGCCACGUACAGGAGAAGGAGGAGAUAAGUUCUAGAUGCUCGACAUCACAGGCCAGUGCUACAGCUCCUGGUAUGGUUUGUCUUAUACCUGCAAUGGCGUUCUGAGACGUCCAGAGUACUGUAGAUCUGGGCCAGAUCUGGGCCACGUCGAACUGUAGGAGAACCCCACAAUGGUUGGUCAGACAAGGAUCUUGAAGAUAUCUUGGGAGACGGGGAAUACAAACCUGACAAGAAUAAAGGACUUUAUUAUUAACAUCGAUGGAAGCUUACUAACCUUGGAUUUUUAUGAAAAUUGGCUUAGCAUCCCAGAUGGAACUCUGGCUGGAAAAAUUAAUGUCAUUCAAAGCCUUUUGCAACAGAUCCCAGAACCAAACUUUAUACUAUUAAAACAUCUCAUAUGUGUAUUAGUAAUAAUAAAAGGUUCUUCCAUGAAUAAUUUAGACAGUUACAGAUUAUCUCUGCGCAUAGCUUCACAUGUACUGUGGGGUCAGACUUUGAGAGAUUCAUUAUUUGGGAGUGACGUCUUAAGAAAGGAAACCCUAGGAUUGCAUUCUUAUGGAGUGGAGUAGAAUAUGUAUUGAUCUAUUUCAGGAAGAUUUGGGACGGGAGAUUUUUAAUGUAGUUUAAAGUCCACAGGAAAGAAGAUAUCAUGAUGUUACUCACAAUGGAGGAUGAUAGCCCAAGGGAUACCUUGAAUAAGAUUCUUGCUCAGGACUGUACUUGGCUUGAACUAGAAACGUAGCUUUUUUAGUUAAUUUCUAAUUGCCAAGAUGUCUCUUAUACAAAUUAUGAUUGACAACUAUGAUCAAAUAUUUGGAAAUGAUGAUAUAUUUAGUAAACACAUUGACAAAAAGUCUGAAGACAUACAAAGAAUCAAUAAAUUAUUCUGGAAAAUCUCCUAUUAUGACAAAAGCCAUAGCUGACCACAACUGGAAAACCAAUGAUAUUGAUGAAAAAUUUAAUAUUUCAUAUGCUGCACUGCAGGAAGAAGGUCCUACAGGAUAUACAAGGUUAAAGAGAGUUCAGUUUCAAAAAUGAUUUCCCGUCUUUCUUAUAUGCGAGAAACAGAAAGGCUAUAUAUAUAUACAUACCAAGCCACCAGUUUAUUCUGAUCCAACACCACCAAGAAAGAAAUGCUUAUUUGGCAAAAAUCUUACAAGCAUUUAUGUCGACAGAAAGCUGCCUGCUCCAAAACUUGAUAUGUCAUCCAUAAUUGCAGGGAAAGGACGAGAAUCAGAUCACAUAUUCAAAAUUCUACCUGAAAAUUCACACUGGUGCCUCAGAGAGAGGAUUGACAGUGAACAACUCAUUGAAUGGAUGAAAGAAUGCAUGCUUGUAAUAGCAUCUGUCUUGAAGGACUUCAUUGCAAACAUUGAAGGAAGUUUACUUACUUCUGACUUAUAUGAGAAUUGACUUAGCGUCCCAGAUGAAGGACCUCUGGUUGGAAAAAUUAAUGCCAUCCAAAGACUUCUACUGAAGAUUCCUCAGGCAAACUUUAUCCUUCUAAAGCAUCUCAUUUGCGUAUUAGUAAUAAUAAGAGACUCAUCCACGAAUAAUUUAGACACUCACAGGUUAUCUAUCCGGAUAGCUCCUUAUGUUUUGUGGGAUCAGACUACAAAGGACGCAUGGUUUGGGAGUGAUGUAUCAAGAAAGAUGUCCAUUAUACAAAUCAUGAUCGACAACUAUCAUCAAAUAUUUGGAAAUGAUGAUAUAUUUAAUAAACAUAUUGACAGAAGAUCUGAGGAUUUAAAGACUUGUGCAGAUUCAAUAAACUCUUCUGGCAAAUCACCUAUUAUGAAAGAAUUCCUAGCUGGCCACAACAAGAAAACAUGCGAUAAUGGUGAAAAAUUAAAAAUUUCAUCCAUUGCUCUGCAGGAGGAAGGUCCUACUGGACAGAACAGAACAACUACCACAUAUAAGUGGUAGAAGAUGACUGAAGACAUUAUAAGGUCAUUCUAUUUUAAUGUUCCCUUCUACAUUCCACUAUAUCAUAGCAGAACAAUUAUUACAACAUCCUGCUUCAGCAUUCAUAUGCUAUCAUAAUAAAUGUUAUAAUAAAUAAAAGUGUUAUUGCUUACA